GCCAUUAGGCUAAGGGCACGUCUGCCUGGGCGUCA
rnacentral:rRNA from 1 species